rnacentral:misc_RNA from 1 species
AAGUCGUAACAAGGUUUCCGUAGGUGAACCUGCGGAAGGAUCAUUAAAAAAAAAUUUAAUGAAUGGUUGGAGGGGAACAUUUUUUGUUCCCCUUUGGCUUUAUUCAACCAACCCGCUCUUGUAUUUUGUAUCAAACAAAAAAUUUCUUUAAAACUAAUAAAAAUAGUAAUGUAAAAAAAAACUUUCAACAACGGAUCUCUUGGCUCUC